rnacentral:rRNA from 1 species
UACGAAGGGGGCUAGCGUUGCUCGGAAUCACUGGGCGUAAAGGGUGCGUAGGCGGGUCUUUAAGUCAGGGGUGAAAUCCUGGAGCUCAACUCCAGAACUGCCUUUGAUACUGAGGAUCUUGAGUUCGGGAGAGGUGAGUGGAACUGCGAGUGUAGAGGUGAAAUUCGUAGAUAUUCGCAAGAACACCAGUGGCGAAGGCGGCUCACUGGCCCGAUACUGACGCUGAGGCACGAAAGCGUGGGGAGCAAACAGGGAUUAAGAUACC